UACAGCCACAUCACAUUGAAACGCCAGUUCUUGUAUGAUAACCAAAGUUAAGCAAGGUUGAGCCUGGUCAGUACCUAGUUGGGUGACUGCUUGGGAAUACCAGGUGU